ACUGAAGAUACCUUGAGACCAGAGGCUGUGUUCAACAAGAGUCUGCUGAUCUUAUCCAGUUGGUGUUGCUAAAGAUGACGAUGAUGAAGAUACUCCUCCUGGUGGUUUUGGUGGGAUGCUGCAGCCAGCUCUGUGCUGCUUACUUUGAAGAUGAUCAUAUAGUUACAGGACAAGACCGAAAUAAAGACUGUACCGAGUUAAUGAAUGAUAAGAGAUUGACAAAUCGUUGUUUGUGAUGUCCGGUGUUGUUCGCUCUUCAGAGUUCCAGUCCAGUUCUCUCGUUGUCCCUGUUUCAGUGUCCUGUUUGCUGUUACCGGAUUCAGCCGUGUCUGUUCAACACUUCUCUUCACUCUUCUCACCACGAUCAUCUGACCAUUGGAGACUCUGCGCCA